CAGUCGCCGCGGUAAUACGGAGGGAGCUAGCGUUGUUCGGAAUUACUGGGCGUAAAGCGCACGUAGGCGGUUACUCAAGUCAGAGGUGAAAGCCCGGGGCUCAACCCCGGAACUGCCUUUGAAACUAGGUGACUAGAAUCUUGGAGAGGUCAGUGGAAUUCCGAGUGUAGAGGUGAAAUUCGUAGAUAUUCGGAAGAACACCAGUGGCGAAGGCGACUGACUGGACAAGUAUUGACGCUGAGGUGCGAAAGCGUGGGGAGCAAACAGGUUUAGAUACCCCCGUAGUCCCUGUCUCUUAUAC
rnacentral:rRNA from 1 species